rnacentral:rRNA from 1 species
CGAGGAAUAUUGCACAAUGGGCGAAAGCCUGAUGCAGCAACGCCGCGUGAGGGACGAAGGCCUUCGGGUCGUAAACCUCUUUUCUGGGGGACGAGUAAGGACGGUACUCCAGGAAUAAGUCUCGGCUAACUACGUGCCAGCAGCCGCGGCAAAACGUAGGAGGCGAGCGUUAUCCGGAUUUACUGGGCGUAAAGCGUACGCAGGUGGCUUCGUUAGUCGGACAUGAAAGCUCCUGGCUUAACUGGGAGAGGUUGUUCGAUACUGCGGGGCUUGAGGUUGGGAGAGGGACGUGGAAUUCCCGGUGUAGUGGUGGAAUGCAUAGAUAUCGGGAGGAACACCAGUGGCGCAAGCGGCGUCCUGGCCCACACCUGACGCUGAGGUACGAAAGCGUGGGUAGCAAACAG